CCUGGGAAAUUGCCCUGAUGUGGGGGAUAACCAUUGGAAACGAUGGCUAAUACCGCAUGAUAGCUUCGGCUCAAAGAGGGGGACCUUCGGGCCUCUCGCGUCAGGAUAUGCCCAGGUGGGAUUAGCUAGUUGGUGAGGUAAGGGCUCACCAAGGCGACGAUCCCUAGCUGGUCUGAGAGGAUGAUCAGCCACACUGGAACUGAGACACGGUCCAGACUCCUACGGGAGGCAGCAGUGGGGAAUAUUGCACAAUGGGCGCAAGCCUGAUGCAGCCAUGCCGCGUGUAUGAAGAAGGCCUUCGGGUUGUAAAGUACUUUCAGCAGUGAGGAAGGGGAUAUCGUUAAUAGCGGUACUCUUUGACGUUAGCUGCAGAAGAAGCACCGGCUAACUCCGUGC
rnacentral:rRNA from 1 species